rnacentral:rRNA from 1 species
UACGUAGGGGGCAAGCGUUGUCCGGAUUCAUUGGGCGUAAAGAGCGUGUAGGCGGCCAGGUAGGUCGGUUGUGAAAACUGGAGGCUCAACCUUCAGAGGUCGACCGAAACCAUCUGGCUAGAGUCCGGGAGAGGAGAGUGGAAUUCCUGAUGUAGCGGUGAAAUGCGCAGAUAUCAGGAAGAACACCCGUGGCGAAAGCGGCUCUCUGGAACGGUACUGACGCUGAGACGCGAAAGCGUGGGGAGCGAACAGG